UACGGAGGGAGCUAGCGUUAUUCGGAAUUACUGGGCGUAAAGCGCACGUAGGCGGCUUUGUAAGUAAGAGGUGAAAGCCCAGAGCUCAACUCUGGAAUUGCCUUUUAGACUGCAUCGCUUGAAUCAUGGAGAGGUCAGUGGAAUUCCGAGUGUAGAGGUGAAAUUCGUAGAUAUUCGGAAGAACACCAGUGGCGAAGGCGACUCACUGGACACGUAUUGACGCUGAGGUGCGAAAGCGUGGGGAGCAAACAGG
rnacentral:rRNA from 1 species